rnacentral:lncRNA from 1 species
UGAUUGCACAGCACCAACUUAACAGAAAAUAUCUAAUAAUCAACCAGAAAUAAUUGAAGAUCAACAGUCAACAUUAAAGCCUGUAAUUAAUGCAGUUACAACAGAAUUAACUGUAUUGUUUAAUGAUAAUGACUCUUUAUUGUUGCCAAAUACUAAUAGUGAACCAAAAUACAUUCCGUCAAACCUAGAUAUAAAUGUUGAUAGAACCCAAAUAGAUUUGAACAAAGUGCCCAAAACUGUAUCAUCUGAGAAUAUUCGGCCUUAUCCUAUUGCUUCUAGAGUUACAAAUAAUGCUAGUCGUAAGAGAAAAUGUAUGCGAGCCGAGGUGGCAACAAGUUCGCCUUUUAAAGCUGCUGUUCAAUUAGCUACACUCAAGAAACAAGAAAAAUUGGUAAAGCAAGAUUCGAAGAAAGUUUUUAAAGAGAAGAAGGACCAGCUUAAAAUAACAGCUGCAAAUAAAGAUAGAAAGAAGAAGACAAAAAAAGAGUGAUAAAAAUAUCUAACAAAAUUUGUGAAACUCAAGAAAUUUCAUGUUGGUAUUGUGAAAUUAUCUAUGGUGAUCCUAAUGAUCCAUUGCUUGAUGAUGACUGGGAUAUGUUUAAAUCCUGUGAUCACUGGUGUCAUUUAACUUGUGGCCAGUAUGUUGAACGCAAAUUUAUGUGUGUUGUAUGUUACUCUUGUGUAGCUUAGUCAUUAUUUUUGUCAUUACAUUAUUUUAUUAUUCGUUAAA